GACGAACGCUGGCGGCGUGCUUAACACAUGCAAGUCGAACGAUGAACCCGGAGCUUGCUCCGGUGGAUUAGUGGCGAACGGGUGAGUAACACGUGAGUAACCUGCCCUUGACUCUGGGAUAACUGCGGGAAACUGUAGCUAAUACCGGAUACGACCCUCGGCGGCAUCGCCAGGGGGUGGAAAGAAUUUCGGUCAAGGAUGGACUCGCGGCCUAUCAGCUAGUUGGUGAGGUAACGGCUCACCAAGGGGACGCGGGGUAGCCGGCCUGAGAGGGUGACCGGCCACACUGGGACUGAGACACGGCCCAGACUCCUACGGGAGGCAGCAGUGGGGAAUAUUGCACAAUGGGCGCAAGCCUGAUGCAGCAACGCCGCGUGAGGGGUGACGGCCUUCGGGUUGUAAACCUCUUUUAGUAGGGAAGAAGCGAAAGUGACGGUACCUGCAGAAAAAGCACCGGCUAACUACGUGCCAGCCGCCGCCGUAA
rnacentral:rRNA from 1 species